rnacentral:rRNA from 1 species
UACGUAGGGGGCAAGCGUUGUCCGGAUUUAUUGGGCGUAAAGAGCUCGUAGGCGGUUUGUAAGUCGAGUGUGAAAAAUCUGGGCUCAACCCAGUGGAGCACUCGAUACUGCGAUGACUAGAGUACGGUAGAGGAGUGUGGAAUUCCUGGUGUAGCGGUGAAAUGCGCAGAUAUCAGGAGGAACACCAACGGCGAAGGCAGCACUCUGGGCCGGUACUGACGCUGAGGAGCGAAAGCGUGGGGAGCAAACAGG